GCCCCUGUGGCCUAAUGGAUAAGGCAUCGGUCUCCUAAACCGGUGAUUGCGGGUUCGAGUCCCGCCAGUGGUA
rnacentral:tRNA from 1 species